ensembl:lncRNA
GUAAGCACUCUGUUUUGUAGGAACAAUUGUGAUGGAGGAAAAAAACAGAGGGCUAUGAGCUAACACAUUAGGGAGACCUGCUUCAGAUCUAGUAGACAAGGAAGACCUCUGUGGGACUCAGCAGAGGCUGGAAGGAUGUGAGGAGAUGGCUGGCUGUAUUAUUAGGGGUGGGUUGGAGGAAAGUCCUUUCUAAACAAGGUAACAGCAUAUACAAAGGCCCUGAGGCCAGAAAGAGCUUAGUUAAGUUUAGGAAUGGAAAGAAGGCUAGAAUUUACUAAGAGGGAGCACGGAGAGGGGAGGUGGAGUGGAGGGGUUGGUGAGGCCAGGAAGACAGGAGGGGAGCUAGCUGGGCCCCUCCCUGCUCAUCGGACCUUAUCCAUUUUCCCAGGAGGCCUCCUAAGUGCUGUCGCCUUUACAGCUUGGUGGGCGGUGAUGCUUUUUAGAAAUCUCCAUUUCUCCAUUUUCUGAGAGCUUCCCGACAUGUAGCCCGGGCUUCCUGGCUUCUGCUUUUGCCUCUGGGGCCGGGCCUCCAGGGGCUCCAGCAAUCCCUGCCAACAGGAGCUCAUGUUUUCAGCCUGCUGUCAGGCCCUCGAUCAGGAAACAGGGCCCCAUUUCCUCCUGGGACUUCUGAGCCGGCAUCCCAGGCCUCAGGUGCCUGCCUCCACCCAAGGAGACUCAGGAAAAGCAGGGCGAGCCGAGGGUGUGACCGGUAUGGGCUUCCCCCAGCUCGGCAUAUAUAUAUGGGGACGUGGGUGUUACUGGCAGUGCCUGCAGCUGCGCUGGCUGGGAGGCGCAGCCCAGCACCCACACCAGGCACACGCCCAUGACAUCACCCAGGCUCGCCUCACUCAAGCCUAUUUCUGUCAACACUCAUGCUUCAGCAUGCUCCGGCGACACCAGUACCUGUGCCUGAAGUUGUGGGGGGAGGUGGAGUCCCAGCCCAGCUGCCCCUCUGGCUCUGUGAGCCUGACCCCAUGGGUGUUUACUUACCAAACACUUAGAGCAUCACUUGACAUAAAGGAAAAACUGAGGCCCAGAGAGAUUAAGCUAAGAGGCAGCAGAGAUGGGAUUUAGGCCCAUCCAGAGUCCACAUGACGUUGCCUUCCACCUAGCACACAUUCCUACAUCCCUGUAGC